GCCAAUGUGGCUCAAUGGUAGAGCAUUGCUUUCCUAUAUUGCGUAGGCAAAGGUUGUGGGUUCGAGCCCCAUCAUUGGUU